GAUGAACGCUGGCGGCGUGCCUAAUACAUGCAAGUCGAGCGAACGGACGAGAAGCUUGCUUCUCUGAUGUUAGCGGCGGACGGGUGAGUAACACGUGGAUAACCUACCUAUAAGACUGGGAUAAAUUCGGGAAACCGGAGCUAAUACCGGAUAAUAUUUUGAACCGCAUGGUUCAAAAGUGAAAGACGGUCUUGCUGUCACUUAUAGAUGGAUCCGCGCUGCAUUAGCUAGUUGGUAAGGUAACGGCUUACCAAGGCAACGAUGCAUAGCCGACCUGAGAGGGUGAUCGGCCACACUGGAACUGAUACACGGUCCAGACUCCUACGGGAGGCAGCAGUAGGGAAUCUUCCGCAAUGGGCGAAAGCCUGACGGAGCAACGCCGCGUGAGUGAUGAAGGUCUUCGGAUCGUAAAACUCUGUUAUUAGGGAAGAACAUAUGUGUAAGUAACUGUGCACAUCUUGACGGUACCUAAUCAGAAAGCCACGGCUAACUACGUG
rnacentral:rRNA from 1 species